rnacentral:rRNA from 1 species
CCUACGGGAGGCAGCAGUGGGGAAUAUUGGACAAUGGGGGGAACCCUGAUCCAGCGACGCCGCGUGAGUGAAGAAGUAUUUCGGUAUGUAAAGCUCUAUCAGCAGGGAAGAAAGAAAUGACGGUACCUGACUACGAAGCCCCGGCUAACUACGUGCCAGCAGCCGCGGUAAUACGUAGGGGGCAAGCGUUAUACGGAUUUACUGGGUGUAAAGGGAGCGUAGACGGCGAUGCAAGUCUGGAGUGAAAGGCGGGGGCCCAACCCCCGGACUGCUUUGGAAUCUGUAUGGCUGGAGUGCAGGAGAGGUAAGUGGAAUUCCUAGUGUAGCGGUGAAAUGCGUAGAUAUUAGGAGGAACACCAGUGGCGAAGGCGGCUUACUGGACUGUAACUGACGUUGAGGCUCGAAAGCGUGGGGAGCAAACAGGAUUAGAUACCCGGGUAGUC